rnacentral:rRNA from 1 species
AGCAGUCGCCGCGGUAAUACGAAGGGUGCAAGCGUUAAUCGGAAUUACUGGGCGUAAAGCGUGCGUAGGCGGUUUGUUAAGUCUGCUGUGAAAUCCCCGGGCUCAACCUGGGAAUGGCAGUGGAUACUGGCAAGCUAGAGUGUGUCAGAGGAUGGUGGAAUUCCCGGUGUAGCGGUGAAAUGCGUAGAGAUCGGGAGGAACAUCAGUGGCGAAGGCGGCCAUCUGGGACAACACUGACGCUGAGGCACGAAAGCGUGGGGAGCAAACAGGAUUAGAUACCCCUGUAGUCCCUGUCUCUUAUAA